rnacentral:other from 1 species
ACCGAAUUUUACAAAAUUCCAGAACUGUGGGUUACAAAUGUAUUUUUUUCUUUAUGCAAUACCAGUCGUCAAUUCGGCUAAAUAAAUUUUGAUAUAGAUAGGAUUUACACAUGUCUAACACAGUAACCGGCACCGUAAAAUGGUUUAACGAAACUAAAGGCUUUGGUUUUAUCAAGCAAGAAAACGGCCCGGACGUUUUUGCACACUUCUCUGCAAUCAAAGGUGAUGGCUUUCGUUCACUCGCUGAAGGCCAAAAAGUGUCUUUCGUCAUCUCUCAAGGCCAAAAAGGUCCUCAAGCAGAAGAAAUCACAGUGCUUUAAUUAGACUGGACAUUUUUACGGUAGCCAGCCAUAGUGCUGGCUAUUUUUA